UGGGGAAUAUUGCACAAUGGGCGAAAGCCUGAUGCAGCAACGCCGCGUGAGUGAUGAAGGCCUUCGGGUUGUAAAGCUCUGUCUUUUGGGACGAUAAUGACGGUACCAAAGGAGGAAGCCACGGCUAACUACGUGCCAGCAGCCGCGGUAAUACGUAGGUGGCAAGCGUUGUCCGGAUUUACUGGGCGUAAAGGAUGCGUAGGCGGAUUUUUAAGUGAGAUGUGAAAACCCUAAGCUUAACUUGGGGACUGCAUUUCAUACUGGAAAUCUAGAGUGCGGGAGAGGAGAAUGGAAUUCCUAGUGUAGCGGUGAAAUGCGUAGAGAUUAGGAAGAACACCAGUGGCGAAGGCGAUUCUCUGGACCGUAACUGACGCUGAGGCAUGAAAGCGUGGGUAGCAAACAGGAUUAGAUACCCUGGUAGUCCACGCCGUAAACGAUGAGUACUAGGUGUAGGAGGUAUCGACCCCUUCUGUGCCGCAGUUAACACAAUAAGUACUCCGCCUGGGAAGUACGAUCGCAAGAUUAAAACUCAAAGGAAUUGACGGGGGUCAUAGCUGUUUUUCCU
rnacentral:rRNA from 1 species